rnacentral:rRNA from 1 species
UUUGCUGACGAGUGGCGGACGGGUGAGUAAUGUCUGGGAAACUGCCCGAUGGAGGGGGAUAACUACUGGAAACGGUAGCUAAUACCGCAUAACGUCUUCGGACCAAAGAGGGGGACCUUCGGGCCUCUUGCCAUCGGAUGUGCCCAGAUGGGAUUAGCUAGUAGGUGGGGUAACGGCUCACCUAGGCGACGAUCCCUAGCUGGUCUGAGAGGAUGACCAGCCACACUGGAACUGAGACACGGUCCAGACUCCUACGGGAGGCAGCAGUGGGGAAUAUUGCACAAUGGGCGCAAGCCUGAUGCAGCCAUGCCGCGUGUAUGAAGAAGGCCUUCGGGUUGUAAAUACUUUCAGCGGGGAGGAAGGGAGUGAGGUUAAUAAGCUCAUUCAUUGACGUUACCCGCAGAAGAAGCACCGGCUAACUCCGUGCCAGCAGCCGCGGUAAUACGGAGGGUGCAAGCGUUAAUCGGAAUUACUGGGCGUAAAGCGCACGCAGGCGGUCUGUCAAGUCGGAUGUGAAAUCCCCGGGCUCAACCUGGGAACUGCAUUCGAAACUGGCAGGCUUGAGUCUCGUAGAGGGGGGUAGAAUUCCAGGUGUAGCGGUGAAAUGCGUAGAGAUCUGGAGGAAUACCGGUGGCGAAGGCGGCCCCCUGGACGAGGACUGACGCUCAGUGCGAAAGCGUGGGGAGCAAACAGGAUUAGA